rnacentral:tRNA from 1 species
GGCCCGUUGGUCAAGUGGUUAAAACACCGCCCUUUCACGGCGGUAACAUGGGUUCAAAUCCCGUACGGGUCA